rnacentral:rRNA from 1 species
UACGGAGGGUGCAAGCGUUAUCCGGAUUCAUUGGGCGUAAAGCGCGUGUAGGCGGUCCGGUAAGUCCGCUGUGAAAGUCGGGGGCUCAACCCUCGGAUGCCGGUGGAUGCUGUCGGGCUUGAGUACGGAAGAGGCGAGUGGAAUUCCUGGUGUAGCGGUGAAAUGCGCAGAUAUCAGGAGGAACACCAAUUGCGAAGGCAGCUCGCUGGGACGUUACUGACGCUGAGACGCGAAAGCGUGGGGAGCAAACAGG